ACUUAAUGCUUCCAGGAAAAGCGUUAUAAUUUGUGGCAGCACAAGAUAGAAAAUAUGCAAGAUUUAUCCAUUAGCUGGAGGCGGAGAAUCAAAUUAGAGGAGAGUGCUUAAGACGGGAGAGUGGGCUAAUAUUAUGAUAAGCAGCAACAAAAGUUGCAUUCAAAGUGUCUCUCACUGGUGCGCGCCGUCUUUAGGCUGACAUAACUUCUCUGGCUGAUAAAACAGGCAGGUUGUUUUUCCAGUCAGUCAGCCAAGUGCUCGUUGUUCCAUAAAUUUCCGAUACGGCGAGCAGCGUGGGCGAACGCCUACAAAUCGAAGAUUUGAACAGAAGAAAUGUCAUUCCAUUUUCGCUCCAGCCAGAGUCCCCUUUGGGAUUUCGCCGUUCGCCUGCUCGCUUGCUUGCUCUCCCGAGUGCGUGUGAUGUCUUCAUCUAAUAUAGAAGAGAGAGGGUGCAACAUCCUCUAUUUCCCUCUCGUUCUGCGCCGCCUGCCCCUCUGAUAUAUCGACACGCUCCGGACCAGUUAGCACGCACUGCUCGCUUGAACAACCCUCAGGUCAUCAAGACAAAGGCUGCUUUGUUCCAAAUUUAUACUAUCAUUUAAUCUCGGAGGAAAAGCUGCCACUGACAAAGAGAG